rnacentral:misc_RNA from 1 species
AAGUCGUAACAAGGUAACCGUAGGUGAACCUGCGGUUGGAUCAUUAACAAAUUUUUAAAAAGGUUGGAGUCAACCAACUGGGCGGUUUCAGCUUUCUUGUUGGUUGGUUCUUAUCCUUUCAACCCUAAUGUGAACCUGUUUAUUGUCUCUUGGCGAGUUAGGAAUUUUUUUUGUAGUGAAGCAACCUUACUAAAGAACGGAUGAACUCAUUUUAUGUUUUCAAGCGAAGUAUCUGCAGUUUGAAUGCUGAGCUGAAAAAAAGCAACGACCUUGCCAAACCUAAACUUGAACUUUUGUUUUAAUAACUAGUCUUGAAUUUAAAUUAUAUUUUAAUUUAAAACAACUUUUGACAACGGAUCUCUAGGCUCUC